rnacentral:rRNA from 1 species
AGCAGCCGCGGUAAUUCCAGCUCCAAUAGCGUAUAUUAAAGUUGUUGCAGUUAAAAAAGCUCGUAGUUGAAUUUCGGGACCAUCAUGUCGGUCGUGCCUCGGUACGUACUGGCAUCGUUGGUUUCUCCCUUCUGACGAACCAUGAUGUCAUUAAUUUGGUGUCUUGGGGAAUCAGGACUGUUACCUUGAAAAAAAUUAGAGUGUUUAAAGCAGGCAUACGCUUGAAUACAUUAGCAUGGAAUAAUGAAAUAGGACGUUCGAUUCUAUUUUGUUGGUUUCUAGGAUCGACGUAAUGAUUAAUAGGGAUAGUUGGGGGGCAUUAGUAUUCAAUUGUCAGAGGUGAAAUUCUUGGAUUUAUUGAAGACUAACUACUGCGAAAGCAUUUGCCAAGGAUGUUUUCAUUAAUCAAGAACGAAAGUUAGGGGAUCGAAGACGAUCAGAUACCGUCGU